UUAUGAGGAUGCUCCAAAUACUGAGUACAGUGUUUACAGUUGCUCUUCUAAUGAAAGGAUGUGAUGCACAAUUGUCAGAUUGUGGCAAAGCCCCUCUUGACACAAGGAUAGUAGGGGGACAGGAUGCUCCUGUUGGUGCAUGGCCAUGGCAGGUCAGUCUUCACAGGAGCAAUGGACAUUUCUGUGGUGGAUCACUCAUCAACAAUGAAUGGGUUCUGACAGCAGCUCACUGCUUUGUAAGUACUUCAACAAGCGGCCUAACUGUGUACCUGGGGCGACAAACACAGUCAGGAACAAAUACAAAUGAGGUGUCCAGAACUGUCUCUCAAAUCAUUAAACAUCAAAACUACAGUUCCAGCUCUAAUGACAAUGAUGUCACUCUCCUGCAUCUGUCUUCACCUGUGACAUUUACUGACUAUAUUAGACCGGUCUGCCUGGCAGCUGCAGACAGUACAUUCUUCAACCGCACUGCGAGCUGGGUCACUGGAUGGGGAGAUAUUAAAACUGGUGUUUCCAUGCCUUCACCGGAAACUCUACAGGAAGUGCAAGUGCCUAUUAUUGGAAACAGGCAAUGCAAGUGCCUUUAUGGAAUCCAAACAAUCACAAACAACAUGAUCUGUGCUGGACUAAUCGAAGGGGGGAAAGACUCCUGUCAGGGUGAUUCUGGUGGACCUAUGGUCAGCAAACAGGGCUCAGUCUGGAUCCAGUCUGGGGUUGUGAGCUUUGGUGAAGGAUGUGCUUUACCAAGGUUUCCUGGUGUCUAUGCCAGAGUGUCUCGGUACCAGACCUGGAUCACCCAACAGAUCAACCAGCCAAAUAACCAGCCAGGCUUCAUCAAAUUCAUCUCCAGUGGUACUGAUGGUGAUCUAAGUGUCAGCUGUAGUGGUUUGUCUGCCAUUACAUCAACUGCUGCAGCUGCAAUUACAACCACUACAACCACUGCAUCUGUAGUGUGUGGAAGUGCCAAACUGAAUACCCGUGUGGGAGGAAACAGCUCCCUGGCAUCUACAGGUGUAUGGCCAUGGAUUGCCAGUCUGCAGUUGAAUGGCAGUCACAUUUGUGGAGGAACGAUGGUUGCUGAAUGGUUUGUCAUGAGCUCUUCUAGCUGCUUUUCCAGAUCAACAAAUGCCUCUGAUUGGACCGUGAUCCUGGGUCGUCUGUACCAGAACGGCAUCAACCCCAAUGAGGUCUCUGUAAAAGUGGUGAACAUCACAAUCAGCAAUUCUACAGGUGACAGCAUUGCAGUCUUGCAGUUGGCCAGUGCACCAAAACUCUCAGAUUUCAUUCAGCCCAUAUGUGUGGACCUGGGAGAUAGUACCUUCAGUGCUGAUACUCCAUGUUGGGUGGCAGGCUGGGGCUCAGGAGCAGGAGGAACUCCCGCUUCCUCCUUAAGAAGAAAGCUAGUGACCUGUCACACUGUUGCUGAAGCCUGGGAAGAAGGAAAGAUACACUGCUAUGGAGUCCUCGCCGCUGGAAGUAAUCUUCAGAACCCUCACCGGCAUCUACCAGGCCCAACACCAGGCCCUCAUGGAGCUGCAGAAGGAGCAGCAACUAUGCUUCAAGAUGCUCCUUCAGGCCCAACAGGAGGACCAGCGGAUCUUGCAUAGCUUGUUAUCCCAGGAGGGGGCGUCCGCUGUGACCCCGGCAGCAGCAAACCCCCACGUGAAGCUUGAUAAAAUGGGGGCUCAGGAUGACCCAGAGGCCUACCUGGAGCUGUUUGAGUGCAGGACCAAAGCCCUAAAAUGGCCAUGGGUGCAAUGGGCUGUUCACCUCCUACCAAUGCUGACCGGGGAAGCCCAGCUCGUAGCACAAAAGUCGUCAACCAUCUAGACUACAUACAUUUGAAGAAAGCCAUCCUGCAACGGGUCAGCCGCAGUCUAGAAGAGCACUGCCAACGGUUCAGGUCCCUGAUGCUGAGCGAGGUCGGCCGCCUGUUCACUUUUGCACAACAGCUCUGUGACGCCUGCUGACGAUGAGAAUGACACCGUUGACAUCAUCAAUCUCGUUGUGCUGGAGCAGUUCGUCUCCUGGCUGCCGAAGGGGAUGGCAGAGUGGGUCCAGUGCCACUAUCCGGCAUCGCUGGAGGACCUAGCGAUCUAGCGGUGUGUCCGGGGGCCAGAAAACCCUUUUCUCUCUUUCUUUCUCUCUCUCUCUCUCUCUCUCUCCCUCUUCCUCCCUUCCCUUCCCUCCCCCCCACCCCCAUCCUGUUCCUGUUCACCUAACCCUCUCAACUCUCUCCCAGAGGCUGGUGAAUCCACUUCCCCAGGUGUGGGCGUGAAGUCUGGGCUGGUCUGCUGGAGCUGUAGGGGUCCUGAGCAUUUCCAGGACCGAUUCCCCACGAGGGAGGUGGAGACAUUGAUCUGGGUCCCUGAUGCACCACAGCCGCCCCGAUCGAGCAGGAGCAUACCGAAUACCUGGCCCUGGCUACGUUUCAGCAGCUCAUGGACAGAAUCCUCAGACCGCAUGCCGCUUACGCCGCUGUCUAUCUAGAUGACAUCAUCAUUUACAGUAAUGACUGGCAGCGGCACCUGCAGCACCUGAGAGCAGUUCUGAAGUCAUUAAGAUGGGCGGGACUCACGGCAAACCCUAAUAAGUGUGCAAUUGGAUGGGUGGAAGUACGGAAUCUGGGUUCCUGUGGCUGGCUGGCUAUUAUCAUAGGUUUGUGCCUAACUAUUUGACCAUCGCCAGCCUGCUGUCUGGUCUUACUAAAAAGGGGGCACCAGAUCCGGUCCAGUGGAUGGAGCCAUGUCAGCAAGCGUUCACGCAGGUGAAAGCUGUGCUUUGCGGCAGGCCGUUAUUACACUCUCCUGAUUUCUCUCUUCCUUUUGUGUUACAGACCAGAGGUUGGGAGCCGUGUUGUCCCAGGUGGUCGAGGGGGAGGAGCGCUCGGUGCUGUACAUCAGCCAAAAGCUCUUGGUGAGGGAGUUGAGGUACAGCCCAGUUGAGAAGGAAUGUUUGGCCAUCAAGUGUGGCGGUCUUACCCUACAGUAUUACCUCCCGGGACUGGUCUUCACCCUCUGUUCGGACCACUCCCCACUCCAGUGGCUCCAUCGCAUGAAAGAUACCAAUGCGCGGAUCACCCAUUUGUAUCUAGAUCUUCAGCCAUUUAAGUUUGAGGUGGUCCACAGAUGGAGGUGCAGCUGGCUGUU